UUACGACCAUAUCACGUUGAAACACCCGUUCUCGCACGAUCAGUGAAGUUAAGCAAUGUCAAGCCUGGUUAGUAUCUAGAUGGGUACUGCUUGGGAAUACCAGGUGCUGUAAG